GAUGAACGCUGGCGGCGUGCCUAAUACAUGCAAGUCGAGCGAACAGACGAGGAGCUUGCUCCUCUGACGUUAGCGGCGGACGGGUGAGUAACACGUGGAUAACCUACCUAUAAGACUGGGAUAACUUCGGGAAACCGGAGCUAAUACCGGAUAAUAUAUUGAACCGCAUGGUUCAAUAGUUAAAGUCGGUUUUGCUGUCACUUAUAGAUUGAUCCGCGCCGCAUUAGCUAGUUGGUAAGGUAACGGCUUACCAAGGCAACGAUGCGUAGCCGACCUGAGAGGGUGAUCGGACACACUGGAACUGAGACACAGUCCAGACUCCUACGGGAGGCAGCAGUAGGGAAUCUUACGCAAUGGGGGAAAGCCUGACGGAGCAACGCCGCGGGAGUGAUGAAGGUCUUCGGAUCGUAAAACUCUGUUAUUAGGGAAGAACAAAUGUGUAAUUAACUAUGCACGUAUUGACGGUACCUAAACAGAAAGCCACGGCUAACUACGUG
rnacentral:rRNA from 1 species